AUGGUCAGCGGCCUCCAGCCCUGCCAGGGAGGGGUGGUAGCUCUUGCCUGGUGCUGGCGGGGCUGGGGGCAGCUGAUGGCCGCCGGAAGGGGCCUCCUGCCUUCGGUGCCUCUAAUUGCAAGGCAGAUUUCCCCUCACAGCCGCCGCGUGAAGCUAUGUGCAGCUGCAGGGGUGGUGCCACCAAGGUCUCUUCCCAUCGGGUGUCAUCCGUGUCCCGCAGAUGACCUGCUGUUGCUCCUUGUACUGCGCGUGCUGAGGCCUCGCUCCGAAGGAAGCUGUCCCUGGGCAGGAGGACAUCACGCAGACCUGGAGCAGCCCGUACUGAAGAGGGGCCGGUGUGAGAGCGCUGUAAAUCACAAGCACUCUGUACUGAAUUCCCGUGUUGCCCAAGGGCGGUUUGCUCCUAGAGCAUUACAGCGAGAGAAGACUGUGAGGAGGAGCAGUGCAUGCCAGUGGGGAGGCUGGGCCGGCGGGGCAGGAGGUGCAGGUAUGAGGAUUUCUUAUUCCUCUGGAGGAACCAAGGGGUCUGGGACACAGCGGCUCAGUGGAAGGGAGAACACAUCUUCCAUGGGUGAGAGGGCAGUGAGGACCCACGCGAAGGGUAACAUUGUGUUUCCUCCCAUCUCCGCUUUCCCUGGUGUGUACAUAUGUAUACGUGCAGAUGGCUAUGUGCUUGCACACCUGCACAUACAAGAUUUUCAAAAGAUACAAAUUUAGGCUUGGGGAGGUCUCUGCAUAUUUGCUGGAGCGGCUCAACACAG
rnacentral:lncRNA from 1 species